ACCAGCGGUGAUAGCACGUGGAAUGCACCAGUUUCCAAUGAAUCACUGAAGUUAAGCCAGGAGCAUUAUUUAAUUAGUUGCAUACAUUUUUGGCCGUUGCUAUUCACUGCUCUAC
rnacentral:rRNA from 1 species